AAACAAAGGACUGCAAAGUGGUGGAGCCACAUAAGGGAAGAAGCCAAAAUAGUUGAAUUUCUGCUUGUAGAAGGGUAGCAUUUUAUAGUUACCUGCGACCAGAUCACCACUUAAACUGUUGGGGAAUAUUCUGUUCCCCAGGGAGCCCAGAAAACGAAGGCUAUUUUCACACUGAAACGGCUCGGAUGCAGCCAAAUCCAAAUCCAGGGUAUAGUAGUCAUUGAUGCCUGCACAAUAUGUACACGCUGGGCACUUUAUACACAUAAUCUUACUUAAUUCCAGUUAAAGCCAUAUAAGACCAUCAGCACUAGACAUCUUGACACCAAGGACUCCCGGCUCCAAGGAAUGAUGCCUAGGCCUCCAUCUAACCAGUUCCUGAAUCCCCGAGAGGGCAUGUACACCGGACCACUGACCCCAGUAAAAAACCCCAGACCAUGAACAAAGAUGAGACUCUUGCUCCUUUCCUUUCCAAGUCUCCUGGACAUUCCAUCUAUAUCGGCUCUCUCAACAUCUUCAAUAAA